rnacentral:rRNA from 1 species
UACGUAGGGUCCGAGCGUUGUCCGGAAUUACUGGGCGUAAAGAGCUCGUAGGUGGUUUGUCGCGUUGUUCGUGAAAACUCACAGCUUAACUGUGGGCGUGCGGGCGAUACGGGCAGACUAGAGUACUGCAGGGGAGACUGGAAUUCCUGGUGUAGCGGUGAAAUGCGCAGAGUAUCAGGAGGAACACCGGUGGCGAAGGCGGGUCUCUGGGCCGAUAUUGACGCUGAGGAGCGAAAGCGUGGGGAGCGAACAGG